rnacentral:tRNA from 1 species
AUUUAGAUAGAUUUUAUUAUAAAAUAAAUAUCUAAAUUUAAUAAGUAUAUCAUUUACAAUGAUAAGAUGUUUUUAACUUUAUUUAAA